GCUCUCUUCCAUUAAAAGUCUGCUUCUAUGAAAGCUUUACUUCUACAGUUUCAUACCUGUCACUACUAUCAUUCCACAGUAACAGAAAUCAUUAGUGAGGAGUAACACAAUCAGUGAAGAUGUUUUGGUUAGAUGCUAUUCUUCCAUUAAGAACUAUCGUUAAUUCUCAGUAUCACUUCUUCUUAAAUUUGUAUGAAAAUUUUAACCCAAGUCUUCAUUUAAACUUCACGAAUAAUUGAGGGUUUUGUUGUUUGCAGAUUUGGGUUUGAUGUUGAAGUUUUUUCUUACAAGGAGAGAAAGAGAUUCUUAACGACAAAAGAGAUUAGAGGAUCAGAGUAAGAGAUACGAAAGAAGAUGAGUGAUGUAUGGGGUUGGUCCUGUUACGUCAUUCCAAAGCGUAUGUCGUUGAAGCCAAAGAAAGAAGUCACUGCAACUAAGCGAAUAACUAUUUCUGGUUGUCGUGAGUGCGUGUUCUAUGUAGGAGUAAAUUAGCGACGCCGACCAUUAAUUUGUGGGGAAUCUUAAGUUGCAGGUAUCCCCAUGAAAUACUUUCUAUUCACAGCUGGAAGAGCACCUGAGCCAAGUUCGUGUCAAUACAACUACCAACAAACGGAACGACGUCCGUGUUCUACGUGUGGUGGAUCCACACUUGCUUCCUCCUUGUGAUAUUGUUCUGCUAUGUCAAGAAUGUCAAUCUCUAAUCAAAAAUCAUGAGCCAAGUUACAGCUUCACAGUAAGGGAAUAACUUAAAUACAACUCUAUAGGUUAGACCAACUUCCAUCUUUGUUCUUUUAGUUUCUUUUUUUCGCAGCUGUUAAACUAUGCAGAAUUUACAUGUGUCUGUAUCUAGGUAUAUGCUUAAUAAUUUCCCAAUUUAGAAGCAUUUUCUUUUCAAAAUGCUUCUCGCACUCGUAUUGCACUUAUUUCAGAAGGUUGGGCUGACUGAGAAACUGUACAGUUGGAAUCUCUGAUUAAUGAAAAGUAAAUUUAGUGGAUCAAAGAUUGUAGGUAUUGGAUAAUACACGAUCCGCCAUAUUUUGAGCAGAGUGCAAGUUGAAUAUCACAGGCUUAGCUGUCAAAACAAGCAGUAUUCAUAUAGCUAGGGCAGGUUCGAUAUCCAUUUCUAGCAAGGACUAGAGGUUUUGUUGUACUUGGCUACAUAAUUCAUUAUGUCAUUCCAGGGCUUUAAAAGGACUUGUACUUGAGCAGAUUAGAACCACGUCCUCCAAGUGACGCGAAGUACUUGCAUGGUAUUACUCAAAUCCAUUGCACGCAUUGAGAAGCACAUCUCAGGCACCAUCGAGGCACAACAAUUAUUAUCAGAUUGUUUCAUCAAACAACAUGCACAUUGAGAAGCAGUUCCAUAAGUUGUAUGUAGAAGUCAACCUGUUCAACCUGUGGUUCUUCAAGUAUCAGAUUAAAAUGUAAGUGCAGAUUGUAAGUGAAGUGAUUAAAAUGCAAACUUAAGUUGUUCUAAGGGUUUAUACUCAGUUUCGUUGCAAGUAUCAGUUGGAUGGCUUUUUUCAGAACUGUUUCCAAUUGGCAUUCAUCACUUGGACAUGAGUUCGGGUCUCCUGAGGUGACGAAGAUUGUCACAGACCGUAUGCAUAAUUUUCUGCUCUUUCAUAUGCUCCAACAGAGGAAGUGCAUCCUUAACUGUAAGCAAUUCUUUUGAUUUAUCUAGGUAUUGUAUGUAAUAAACAAACAUAGCCGCACCAGCACAAUGUAAGAAACAAGAACAUAUUUACAUAUGCAAUCUUUCAGUUGUACAAUUUGACACCUGAUUUUCUUAAUGCAACUUGUAACAUGUCUUUGA